rnacentral:lncRNA from 1 species
CUUAAACCUUCAUUGUCAAUCAAGCAUAUAGAUAUCAAAACAUAAACGUAAAUAACAACAAUAUUUUAGCGAAGGAAAACCCCUUGAAGAUCUCUUCACAUGGAUAGAAAAAAACUUCGGGCAAACCUUGUCAAAAUGAUCCAUUAGGAAAGAUAACUUAGAGUUGGUCCAAUCAAAACUAAAGCUUAGGUAAAUCACUGAAGAACCUCUUCGAUUUUGCCUUCAACACUUUCUAGAACCUCUAGUCAUCUUUUCCCUUUGCGUGGAACACCAAGAAUGAACUUCUCCAACAGGAACUCUAGCUACCUCUUCCAAACUUUAGAACUCUGAAAGAUUAUUGGCAUAGGAUUUGGUUUUUGGUGUAUGAUAUUGAGGCAAAGGAUUUAUGGAAUAUAUAUUUGAUCUAUGUGGUAUGUUCAUUUGACUAAAAUAAAG